rnacentral:rRNA from 1 species
GACGAACGCUGGCGGCGUGCUUAACACAUGCAAGUCGAACGGAAAGGCCCUGCUUUUGUGGGGUGCUCGAGUGGCGAACGGGUGAGUAACACGUGAGUAACCUGCCCUUGACUUUGGGAUAACUUCAGGAAACUGGGGCUAAUACCGGAUAGGAGCUCCUGCUGCAUGGUGGGGGUUGGAAAGUUUCGGCGGUUGGGGAUGGACUCGCGGCUUAUCAGCUUGUUGGUGGGGUAGUGGCUUACCAAGGCUUUGACGGGUAGCCGGCCUGGGAGGGUGACCGGCCACAUUGGGACUGAGAUACGGCCCGGACUCCUACGGGAGGCAGCAGUGGGGAAUAUUGCACAAUGGGCGGAAGCCUGAUGCAGCAACGCCGCGUGCGGGAUGACGGCCUUCGGGUUGUAAACCGCUUUCGCCUGUGACGAAGCGUGAGUGACGGUAAUGGGUAAAGAAGCACCGGCUAACUACGU